rnacentral:lncRNA from 1 species
CCACUUCGAGGCCGGCGACGAGCGCGCCAAGGAGUUCGCGGGCAUCCUCAAGUCCAACGACCCCGUCGGCUUCAACCUCGUCGACGUCCUCGCCUGGGGCUCCAUCGGCCACAUCGUCGCCUACUACAUCCUCGCCACCACCAGCAACGGAUACGACCCACCCUUCUUCGGCUGAUCCCUCCCAUGUCUGCCUGCCUGCGUGCCGACCGGACCGGCUUGCUGUUGUAAUCCGCCGUGUUUUCAUUAGUUCUCUAUACGCUGAUGAUGUACUAUCAUGUUUGUAUGUAUGUGAGAUGGUGAAAGAUUAAUCUGGACAAGUAGUGCAACCGCGUGUGUGUAUUCAGUGCCACAUGAAUGAUU